GCCAGCUGCUGGCCUCACCACAUUUUCUCCAAGAAGACUGAUGGACACUGAAGAAACUUCCCCCCAUAAAAGUGGCAACACUAGCCACUGAACAACCCUGCCUAUCACCUCAGCUGCUACAAAGGACUCUUUGGACUGUGGACAAGAGGACUGUGGAAUCAACUUUCUCCACGUUGCUUGGGCCAAUGGGCUGAAGCAAGAACAGACAGAGUGGCAGAACAUUAGGAGCCCGAGGACCAGUGUUCUUUCUAGAGCUCCCUCACGUUCUCUGGAUGAGCCAUUUCAAAGCAUUCCAUGUCACCCACAUACCGCAGUUUCAUCUGUACAGUGGGCCUGUAACCCUCCCCGCUUAGUGACGAUAGAAUGAGGUGGUGCUUGGCGAGUACUGAGAUGUGCAAGAAGUGACAAGUGACAUUCGGCACAUUUUAUCAAGGUCAUCAUUCGAGCUUUAAGAGGAAGAGUGUUCUCUCUUCUCAGUGUCCCCGCUGCAUUUGCCAUCCCUCCUGAGUGAGUUGUUUACUCAAACAACAAACCAACAACAAACGAAACAAAAGGAAGUCAAGAAACACGCCGACAGGUGGAUGUCAGCUGAGGAAGGCUAUGGUUUGACUUGUGAUUUGGGGGAAUUUCAAUCCAUCAUGACGGGAGGGGAUAGAAGCAAGAAGCUUAGUUUGUAUCACCAAGAGUGUGACAUAGUUGGUUAGACCCAGGUAGCCAACCAGAAAAUCAAGACUAGACCAGAAGCAGGAAUGAGCUUUGACUUUUAAAGGCCCAUCCCAGUGACGGAACCUCACUUGUUAGGCUACAGUCCCUUUGGGACUGGAUUUUUCCAGCCUUCCUGACUGGUGUCAUCAUCUGGUGACAGUAUUCAAACAUAUGAGCCUAGAGAGAUCACUUCAGGUUUAAGACAUACCUCUCUAUCAAAAAAAUGCAUUGCCACAUUUUGUCCACUUGGAGUCCUUCUUUUUAAAUUGCUCUUUAGGUUAGAAAAAGAUAACAAAUGUAUUCAGACACUCUGCCACUGUCAACCACAACCUACCAGGUUUUAGCUUUGAUUAAUGAUUUUUUUUCUCUUUACCUUAUUUUAUGUAAUUCCUGUCAUUUCUAGACAGCUUAUGAUGAACUGUGUGGUCUUUCUCCUUCUUGCCAGUAAAGACUUAAUAAUCAUAUGUAAAAUAUUCAACAUGGCAGCUAGAAACAGGAAAGACAGAAUGGCCAUUUGUGGUAUCCCUUCCAUCUUCUUUAUCUUACUUAGUGUGUCUCAUGGUUUCUGGCUCUAGGUAACCCGUGAAGCUUCAUUUGAACUGGUUAAGUUGUGAGAAACAGUGUACCUAUCCUCACAUGGGGUAGCAAGUAGAAAUCCACCACCUAGGCUUUUGGGCAAAGGCAGGCAGCUGGCUUUGUAGAAGGCUUCUGAUUACAUGGGACAACACUAAGCAGUGAUUGAAGGCAGAACAUCAGUGAAUAAACCAAAGGAUUCUUUU